UCUAGAAGCCAGAUCUGGCUAAAAGCCCGGCUGUUUCUGAAUCCCGCAGUCAACCAAACAAAGGGUCCAGGGGUGGGGAGGGGGAAGUGAAGGAUGGAGAAUCCACGGCCACUGAGGAGCCACUAGGCUUGAUACGAUAUAGGCGAAUGGGCGUGGGCGUGGCAGCCCCAGCCUCUCCCAGACCGCAGAGGGCCCCGGCGACAGGCUCUGGCUGGCUUCGUUCUUUUUCUUUCGACUCAACAAGAUGAAGUGUCUUUGCGAGCACGAACUUUCGCAAGCUCCUAGAGGCGCUUCUUACUCACACAAAGCCGUGGACGAGAAUAACAGCAGGAGCAAGGCCGCUGAAAGAACCUCAGCGGAACAAGAAGCCAAAAGACCCAUCGCAACAGCUGGCGGGAGUUGGAGAAACACUCCGGGAGUCUAAAAGCAGAAAAGGGCGGCACUCCCAAAUACUACCGGAAGACGAAAAAUACACAGCCACCGCUUUUCUGGUAAA